GGAGAGAGAAUUCAUGAGAGGCCAUUAUGGAGCAGUCGGCCACAGAGAUUUUUAUUUAUUAAGAGAAAGUGUGUGGGUGAAGGAGCAGAGGGAAUCUCCAAGCAGAUGCCAAGCUGAGUGUGGGGCCGGAUGCGGGACUCGACCUCACAACCCUGAGAUCAUGACCUAAGCUGAAAUCAAGAGUCCAACACUUAACCGACUAAGCCACUCAGGCGCCCCCCUAUCUUAACCAUUCUUAAGUAGAGAGAGAGAGAGAGACAAAGAGAGCUCAAGCAGGGGGAGCAGCAGACAGAGGGAGAAUCAGGCUCCCCCCUGAGCAAGGAGCCCAGUGUAGGACUCCUGGGAUCAUGACCUGAGCUGAAGGCAGACGCUUAACUGACUGAGCCACCCAGGAGUCCCAGUUGUUUUUAUUUUUAAAUUUUAUGUAUUAUUAUUGUUAUUGUUAUUAUUUCUGGAGACUGUUGUGAUUUUUAUUCAAUUUGGUAUCCUGAUUAAAAUAAGAGCAAAUAAGAAUUAUGUUUUAAAAACAUUGCAUUAUUACUAUAUCAUUUCAAUAUGGCUUUACAUUGAUUGUAUAUAUAGACAAAAAUAACCUUGGAAUUAUAAUUAUCAUUGUUUUAAAAAGCCUUCUUUAAUUUCAGGCAUUGCUCUGCUCCCUGGGUUCCUUUUUCCUGUUUUUCAUUUUUUUAUAAUUAAUUUUUAGAGAUAUAAAUCUCUGAAUCUCGUGUGGACAGCUUUCCUCUAAUGUCUGGGAAUCCUUGUUUCCUGUGUCUGAGAGGCACAAAUGCAGAUUGGAAACUCUUUAUGUCCGGGGAGUGGAGAGGGAUGAACAGGACUUGUUGUGCAUGGGCCUCAGUAUCUGAUGACAAACUCAGCCAUCAAUCUUAUAAGGCAAGCCCAACGAAGGCUCUCCUUGACAGAACUUGAGUCAGACUCUUCUGCACCCUUUUGCUAUGGCCCCAGUCCUGCAUCGCUUGGUUUUAGCAAGAAACUUGAUAAGUCAUUUUGUUGAUAAAGUAAGGCCCUGCCCUCCGUAUCUGGUCACCCUCAAUAUCUGAUCCAAAUCCUCGUCCCCCACCAUCAUCCAGGUGAGAUCUGAUCACCUUCAGCAAGAAUCCUGUGGAGUCGGUUUAGUGAGAAUAACCCC